ACCUGGGUGGCUUGGUCGGUUAAGCAUCUGACUUCGGCUCAGGUCAUGAUCUCACGGUCCGUGAGUUCGAGCCCCACCUUGGGCU
rnacentral:tRNA from 1 species